rnacentral:rRNA from 1 species
GAUGAACGCUAGCGGCAGGCUUAAUACAUGCAAGUCGAGGGGCAGCACAGGUAGCAAUACUGGGUGGCGACCGGCAAACGGGUGCGGAACACGUACACAACUUACCUUCUGGUGGGGGAUAGCCUUUGGAAACGGAGAUUAAUACCCCAUAUUAUAUAUGAGCUGCAUGGUUUGUAUAUUAAAGAUUUAUUGCCGGAAGAUGGGUGUGCGUAUGAUUAGGUAGUUGGCGGGGUAACGGCCCACCAAGCCGACGAUCAUUAACUGGUGUGAGGGCACGACCAGUCACACGGGCAAUGGGACACGGGCCCGAGUCCUACGGGAGGCAGCAGUAAGGAAUAUUGGGCAAUGGACGGAAGUCUGAACCAGCCAUGCCGGGUGGAGGAUGAAGGUCCUCUGGAUUGUAAACUUCUUUUAUAGGGGGCGAAAAAAGGGAAUUCUUUCUCGUCUGACGGUACCCUAUGAAUAAGCACCGGCUAACUCCGUGCCAGCCGCCGCCGUAACAC